UUAAAAAUAUGGAAUAUCACCUUAUAUACAUUCAAACAAUGUAUAAUAAUGGCAUCUUCAACAAGAUUCUCCUGAAAAACAAAACUAAUAAUAUGUAGCGGGGGAUGUAAGAAAAAGAGAGAGAAAAGAGGGUAUUUUAAGUAAUUGGCUCACACAAUAUAGAGGGGCUGGCACUUUUGAAAUCUGCACUGCAGGAUGGCCGGCAGCAGAUCCAAGGAAGAGUUGAUGUUUCAAGUCUAGAGGUGCAGACAGAAUACCAUCUACCUGGGGGACUUCAUUCUUCUAUCUUAAGGUCUUCAACUGAUUGCAAGAGUCUCAGACUGCUUAGCUGGCAUAUGAUUGCAGCAAGAGUACUGUUGGUUACACAUUCAAGUUCACUGGUGAUUCCUUCUGACAGAGCUCCCUGGCACAAGUGCCAGGGUUCAAUGUUCCUCUUCACUAAAGGCAUGGCUCACAAUCGGUCCAUGGUCCCACCGCCGGCGCCGGAGCUGCGCUUCGAGCUCCAUCGU
rnacentral:lncRNA from 1 species